UUCACAUUAAGGUUCCCUUGUCUUUAAGGAUUAUGAAUAUCGGAGAUGCAGACUUCUAGGCCAUGCAAGUAAUUUUCCCAGUUAAUUGGGAUACAUACUUUCCACAUUCUUGUGGUAAUAUCAUAAUUCUUCUCUUAUUUCUUCUUAAUUUCAAAGGGAAUUGCAGUGGAGUUGUGGUACUGACCUUGGGGGCUGUGUAUGUAAUAUUCCAAGAGGAUGGGAUGACAGAAAUUCCUGGUAGAGGUCAGAAUGGCCGUGCAGAGAUGGCCACUACUAAAAGAAGAGUUUGAUCAUGCCACUUGGCACCUGCUUGUGACCAGUUCUGAGGUUUGGAGUGCACGGAGUAGAGUAGGAGCACAGCAGUCGAGAGAUCUUCUGAAUUACCCAGCUACCUCAAUUAGUGCCUCCCUCUUCCAGGCCUCACAUUGGAGAACACUUUACAGAAGCAGAGCAAGUGACACUGUAAAAAUGCUUUGCCUAUCUCCACAGCUGUAAUUGUCAUUCCAUCAGGGUUCUAAGAAAGCAGAACCAUCUGGGGAAAUCAGCAUUGCUUCGCUCAGUCUCUGCCGGAAUUAAAAUGAUCUGAUGUGAAGAUGAAGGAGAAAAAAACUCCAAAAUACCUUGCUGUGGGAAUUUACCAGGAAUUUACCAGGGCUGUUGACCAGUAUCUACAGUCCAGUGUGAAAGAAAAAUUUUAUUUAAAUCCUGGAAUGUAAACUAGAGUUAUAAAAAAGGAAGGAGAGAGUUUGAUUCUAUUUUAAUAGAACAGAAAUUGCUGUCCUGAAAGUGUUGUGCAUGUGUACUCUAACAAAAGCCAAUGAAUUGUUUCUAGUUAUAAAGAUGCCAGGAUGAGGCUAGCAUGCAUUAUUAUCAGUGAAAAAAAUAUUAAUUCUCAUUCCUAAAAUAUGACUUCAUAUUCCCAGGAUUGACGAGAUGAAGGAUAUGCAGUAAAUUAGUCCAACAUCCUCUUACCUCUAGGUCUGAACCCUGCUUAGAUCAUUGUUUGAAAUAAAUUGCUGUCUUUAUCUGAAGCA
rnacentral:lncRNA from 1 species